UUCUACAAGUGGAAUUUCCCUUCCCCAGAGGGAAGUCAAAAGGCAGUGACUGGCCUGGAGUGGGCCCACCACUCCCCUCCCUUCCCCCACCUCAGGACCAUAAGCAGCUCCCGACUCUACCACAAGGCUCCGGCUCUGUUCACUUGUCCGUGUUCGGCAGCCCAGACAAUGCUCUAAACCCCAGAUCUCAUUCUGUAAGGGGCUCUGGACUAAGGAAGAGAGAUACUGCAGCUUUCCAAACAGCGUCAUACACAUAUAAGACAAGACAGGCAUCUUAUGUUAACAAAAAUAAGUAACAAAGAAAUAGGAUUAAACCAAGUCUCUUCUCACAGCAUCCUAUACUACAUCCUCCUUCUGCUUAGCAGAAAAUUGUACGUACACAAAAAUACAAAUACACAAUUUUGUAGAACAGUCUGAUUUUAAUAUAUUUAUAUAUAUUUAUAUUUAUAUGAGUGGCAGGUUAGUUCAUUAUAUAGAGCUUUUUGCACUUUUGGCUCAUAUGCAACAAGGCUUAUAAAUUCAGCUUUAGCUUUCAUUCAGGUUUUAUAGCUUUUGAACAACUGUUUUCACAUUUAAAGCAGCAUCCAAUUUGCACUAGGAGUUGGUGGUGAUUACAGGAAAGAUGGAGUCAGGAGGGGUGGGGCGGGCAGGGUGGGUGGGGAUGGGUAUACAUUCCAGUGUGUGUGGCAAUGUAAGAAGGAUUCCAUGUGGACAGAAUUUACCAUGGUGGCCCCUUGAGGUAGACUGAACACCUUACAGCAGACUCAGACACAGGUGUGACUCGCCCUCAGGGACACAUGGUGCACAAGAUGGGGGACAGAGACCAAAGGAAACGCCAAAGGGAAACACACAGACUAAGACACACAACGGCCAAGGCAGGGAGGGUGCUCUGCCCCCAAGCCCCUCUGGCGGGGAUCCUGCACAGCCCAUCUUAGACACGUGACUAUUUGGUGGAUGCUAAAUACUUGAGGCAAUCCCAAGGCAUCUGGUCCAGGUGUCUGAUCAGACUACAGCUGUUUAACUCACUUCUCACUUUAUAAUGGGCUGCACCAGCUAGUUCCACCCCUGCCAGGAAGAGGAGAACCAGGCUGCAUGUUAUUCAGAAC